UAUCCCACCGCUGAAGGUGGGUUACUGAUUACCAGAAAUAGAGAUCUGAAUUUGUUCUCUCUCCCCGAGGCUUGGUGCUAGAAUAUAAACAUCCCCAAGCACUGGCAGUGCUUUUUCAUGAAGCCAUCCAUGCCGAUCAAGCCAUAGUCAACUUCACUUCCCAAUUUAGAUUGCCUUGGUGUUCCACAAUCAAAGCAUCAAACAUUCAUCCCUGUAAGGCCAUAUAUAACCAACUUCUUUUAUUUUCUCUAGUUUGCUUUUAGUACUUGGCAGUUUCAGUUCUAAUGGCAGAUAGUGAUGAUAAGAUUCAUGUGGCCAUGUUCCCAUGGCUAGCCUUUGGUCAUAUGAUGCCAUGGCUAGAACUUGCCAAACUAUUUGCUGCAAAGGGUCACAAAAUCUCCUUCAUAUCCACCCCUAGAAACAUCGAUCGCCUCCCAAAACCACCUGCAGAUGUAUCGUCUACUCUGCACUUUGUAAAGCUGCCGUUGCCGCAAGUAGAGGGUCUACCUCCAGAUGCUGAGGCCACAAUUGACUUGCCAGCUAACAAGGUACAAUAUCUCAAGAUAGCCCUUGACAAGGUCCAAGAACCCUUUGCCAAGGUUCUUGAGUCAUUGAAUCCAGAUUGGAUCUUCUACGAUUUUGCUCAAUACUGGAUCGGGCCAAUUGCGGCUCAGCUGGGCAUCAAAAGUACAUGCUUCUCUAUAUGCAUUGCAGCGAUGGUGGCCUUUCUUGGUCCGCCAUCGCCCUUGAUCGACGGUGAUGAUUAUCGCAAAAAACCCGAAGAUUUCACGAUCCCACCAAAGUGGGUAUCGUUUCAGACAACAGUCGCUUAUAAGUACGUACUAUGACAUCGUGAACACAUUUGACUGUGUUGAGGAUGAUGCUUCAGGUGUCAACGACUUGAAGCGUUGGGGCUUGUGUCUACAAUCAUGUGAUUUUAUUGCAGUUCGGUCCUCCUUCGAGAUCGAACCAGAAUGGCUCCAAGUUCUCGAAACUAUCCACGAGAAACCCGUUUUCCCGGUUGGUCAGCUGCCUCCUGUAGAGUACGAAUUAGAAGAGAAAAAUUCAGACGCUUGGAGUUCAAUGAAGAAGUGGCUUGACAUGCAAGAGAAGAGCUCGGUAGUGUAUGUAGCUUUCGGUAGCGAGGCAAAACCAAGUCAAGCCCAGCUAACCGAGUUAGCACUCGGGCUAGAGCUGUCUGGUUUACCAUUCUUCUGGGUUCUCAGGACUCGGCGUGGGAUUGCGGAUACUGACUUGAUUGAGUUACCACCUGGGUUUGAGGAGCGAACCAAAGGACAAGGAGUGGUUUGCACAACUUGGGCUCCUCAACUCAUGAUCUUGGCUCAUGAAUCGAUUGCUGGGUUCUUGACUCACUCUGGGUGGAGCUCUGUGGUGGAGGCACUUACGUUUCAGAAGGCGCUCGUACUUCUAACAUUCUAUUCAGAUCAAGGGAUAAAUGCUAGGGUAUUGGAGGAGAAGAAGAUUGGGUACUCCAUACCAAGAAACGAGUUGGAUGGGUCUUUUACUAGAGACUCAGUGGCUGAGUCAUUGAGACUGGUGAUGGUGAGUGAGGAAGGGAAGAUGUAUAGAGACAAGGCUAAGGAGAUGAGUAGUUUGUUUGGUGAUAGGGAUAGGCAGGACAGGUACGUGGACAACAUUUUGAUUUACCUCAAAAGUCACAGACCUGUCAAGAAAGCCAAGUGAUUUGUCUUCUAAUUUUCUUUCGCAAAUUAAACAGUCAGUGCUAGCCGAUAGCUCGCCCACAUCAACAGUGAAAUAAGAUUGUUAGCCUUGCGAUUUGUCUUUAGGUUUCA